rnacentral:rRNA from 1 species
CAGAGUCUUACGAUUUUGUAAUUGGAAUGAACUAAGCUUAAAACCCUUUAUAAGUAACAAUUGGAGGGCAAGUCUGGUGCCAGCAGCCGCGGUAAUUCCAGCUCCAAUAGCGUAUAUUAAAGUUGUUGCAGUUAAAAAGCUCGUAGUUGGAUUUCAAUCAAAUAUAUAUUUUACUUUUUAAGAGGUUAUUAUAUCAUUGACUUUUCCCAUCCCAUACAUUUGUAUAGGGAUGGAUUUUACUUUGAGAAAAUUAGAGUGCUUAAAGCAGGCUUUUGCCGUGAAUACUCCAGCAUGGAAUAAUAAGAAAUGACUUUCAUUUUUCUUAUUGGUUCUAAGAUGAAAGUAAUGAUUAAUAGGAACAGUUGGGGGCAUUUGUAUUCAACAGUCAGAGGUGAAAUUCUUAGAUUUGUUGAAGACAAACUACUGCGAAAGCAUUUGCCAAGGAUGUUUUCAUUAAUCAAGAACGAAAGUUAGGGGAUCGAAGACGAUCAGAUACCGUCGUAGUCUUAACCAUAAACUAUGCCGACUAGAGAUUGGAGGUUGUCCUUAUACUCCCUA